GUAUUGUGUUUUAUAGGAACUGAGUCCCAAUUGAUACAUUCUGCAACAUACUACAUGGUAUAUGAAAAUACAUAGUCCAAGAAAUGAUUACAAGUAUUUUGGAGAGAGCCACACUUUCGCAUAGCAUUCGCCACAUCCGAAAGGUGAAUUCACCUUAUCGAGGGGUCCAUUGUUCUCAUUUCAUAAGACUACAAAAGGUGCACAGGUGGAUGAUAGAUAAAGAUGGAAGGUGUGCACAUGCUUCGAAAAGCCAGCUACAACCAACCAAAGUUAUUCAAUAAUGAUCCUUCCGCAGGUUCACCUACGGAAA
rnacentral:misc_RNA from 1 species